rnacentral:rRNA from 1 species
AUUGAACGCUAGCGGCAUGCCUAACACAUGCAAGUCGAACGGGUGGGGGGAGGGUGAGUAAUGUCUGGGCAACGGCGCGGUGGAGGGGGAUAACUACUGGAAACGGUAGCUAAUAACGCAUACCAUCGGAGGUGCCCGGAUGGGAUUAGGUAGUAGGUGUGGUAAAGGCUCACCUAGGCGACGAUCCGUAGCUGGUCUGAGAGGAUGACCAGCCACACUGGAACUGAGACACGGUCCAGACUCCUACGGGAGGCAGCAGUGGGGAAUAUUGCACAAUGGGCGCAACCCUGAUGCAGCCAUGCCGCGUGUAUGAAGAAGGCCUUCGGGUUGUAAAGUACUUUCAGCGGGGAGGCGUUACCCGCAGAAGAAGCACCGGCUAACUCCGUGCCAGCAGCCGCGGUAAUAC